UUCCCAAUAUCAAGCCCUAAUUUCUAAACCUCCCGCUCACGCCCACCUCCUUCUCACGCUGCGACCUGUCAUGCCUACCUCCCGCUCACGCCGCAACUUGUCUCUGUCUCUCAACCGCCAACGCCGGUGACUAUUGCAACGCACCGCCGAUCACCCAACUGAGCGUCGACCGAAGUUGCUUGCCAACGCCGAGGAUGAUGGUAUUGAGUCCAUCUCCAUCUUAGGUUGAGAAUCGGGGGUGAACAAAGUAGCAUUUGAAGAGCUUGGUGUAUCUUCUUCACCAGUCACUUGAUCUGUGUUCUUGGUGUUUCUCCAUCUUCUCCAAUUUGUUAUUAAUCUGUCCAACCUUGGUGCAAUUCCCAUUCCUACAAGUGGUAAGAUCAUAAGGAAGUUCUACUUCAACCCAUCCGUUUUAAUUAAUCUGUUAUUAAUUUGUCCAACAUUGGCCACUUGUUUGAAUGCUCUUGGAACUUCCAAAAUCUAUCCGUUUUUAGCUCGAACUUUCGAUCAAAUUGUUGAAGAUGAUGAUGUGGGCAAUAUCAGUUGAUUGAUCCUAAAACUUUUGAGGUGGUUUCAAAGAUAACCCAGAUGAGAAUUAACAAAUGGAGCAUAAUUUUGGUAGCUGAAAAAGAAAGUAAAACUUUUGUGCUAUGUGGUGUCCCAUAUGGACCAUAGCAGAAAAAGGAAGGAUCAUAAACUACUCGAAAAGGGGUUUAAAUGUAAUAAAAAAUUUAAGGGAUGAUUUUGUGUGCGGAAGGAAUCAAGUAAUAUAUAUAUUUUUUUGCUAUUCAA